rnacentral:rRNA from 1 species
UACGGGGGGUGCAAGCGUUGUCCGGAAUCACUGGGCGUAAAGGGCGCGUAGGCGGCUCUCUAAGUCACUUGUGAAAUCCUGGGGCUCAACUCCAGGGCUGCAGGUGAGACUGGAGGACUAGAGCUCGGUAGAGGCGAGUGGAAUUCCCGGUGUAGCGGUGGAAUGCGUAGAUAUCGGGAAGAACACCGGUGGCGAAGGCGGCUCGCUGGGCCGAUGCUGACGCUGAUGCGCGAAAGCGUGGGGAGCAAACAGG